AGUUAAUGAGCUUGAAUAAGCAUAUAUUUUGAACAUAUAAGAUAGAAAUUAAAUUUUCUAUUAACUU
rnacentral:tRNA from 1 species